GUUAAGGUGGCAGAGCCCGGUAAUUGCAAAAGACCUAAGCCCUUUCAACAGAGGUUCAAAUCCUCUCCUCAACU
rnacentral:tRNA from 3 species